rnacentral:rRNA from 1 species
GAGGGACCCGCACAAGCGGUGGAUGAUGUGGAUUAAUUCGAUGCAACGCGAAGAACCUUACUACCCUUGACAUGUCCGGAACUUGCCAGAGAUGGCUUGGUGCCCGAAAGGGAAUCGGAACACAGGUGCUGCAUGGCUGUCGUCAGCUCGUGUCGUGAGAUGUUGGGUUAAGUCCCGCAACGAGCGCAACCCUUAUCAUUAGUUGCUACGCAAGGGCACUCUAAUGAGACUGCCGGUGACAAACCGGAGGAAGUGGGGAUGACGUCAAGUCCUCAUGGCCCUUAUGGGUAGGGCUUCACACGUCAUACAAUGGUCGGUACAGAGGGUUGCCAAGCCGCGAGGCGGAGCCAAUCCCACAAAGCCGAUCGUAGUCCGGAUUGUUCUCUGCAACUCGAGAGCAUGAAGUCGGAAUCGCUAGUAAUCGCAGGUCAGCAUACUGCGGUGAAUACGUUCCCGGGUCUU